UAUAUACAUAUGUAUGUAUGUAUUAAGGUUAUUGACUUGGUUUUUCCAAACCCGUUUUCACCGUUUUUUUUUUUUUUGAUAUCUAUAGGUUUUUUUG